AAAAGAGAGAAAGAGAGAAAGAGUCAUCAAGGAAGGAAGCUGUGGAAGGAACUAAUUAUUGAUUCAUUCAAUCUGUCGCUUGGUGCACUGUAUUUUUCUUUCAAUUUUUUUGAAUUUUAUUCUUUUAAUUUUUUUAAUUUCAUAAUAAAGAGAAUAAAGGAAGGAAAGGUAUUGUGUGUGAACAGAAA
rnacentral:ribozyme from 1 species